AGGUGUACCUUGUUUUCCCCAAGACAGCCUCUUCAAUAAAGACUGAACCGUGCAACUCUUGCAACUCUUCUCCUUUGUGGAGCCCUGGUGGUACAGUGGUGAGAAAGGAAGGCCAGGACAAGCUGGAAUCAGAGAAAUACCCUUCUACCAGGGAACUAAGGCUCUGGAAGUCUGUUUUUCUGGAAAGUAGGCCUUUGUUAUGGAGAACACUCCCAACAUAUUUCACAAUGGUUAUCUUCCUCUCUUCCUGCUAGAUAUAUGAGGAGAUCUUCCUGACCCAUGGAUUGAACCUGUAUCUCCUGCAUCUCUUGUGUUGGCAA